CUUCCAGAAUAAAGUCUUGAAUGUGGAUGGCGUGAAGGUGAAAUUACAGAUCUGGGACACAGCAGGCCAGGAGAGGUUUCGGAGCGUCACACACGCAUACUACCGAGACGCCCACGCUUUACUGCUCCUGUACGAUGUCACGAACCGAGCCUCCUUCGACAACAUACAGG